AGCGAACGCUGGCGGUAGGCCUAACGCAUGCAAGUCGAACGGCAGCACAGUAAGAGCUUGCUCUUACGGGUGGCGAGUGGCGGACGGGUGAGGAAUACAUCGGAAUCUACUUUUUCGUGGGGGAUAACGUAGGGAAACUUACGCUAAUACCGCAUACGACCUACGGGUGAAAGCAGGGGAUCUUCGGACCUUGCGCGAUUGAAUGAGCCGAUGUCGGAUUAGCUAGUUGGCGGGGUAAAGGCCCACCAAGGCGACGAUCCGUAGCUGGUCUGAGAGGAUGAUCAGCCACACUGGAACUGAGACACGGUCCAGACUCCUACGGGAGGCAGCAGUGGGGAAUAUUGGACAAUGGGCGCAAGCCUGAUCCAGCCAUACCGCGUGGGUGAAGAAGGCCUUCGGGUUGUAAAGCCCUUUUGUUGGGAAAGAAAAGCAGCAGGUUAAUACCCCGCUGUUCUGACGGUACCCAAAGAAUAAGCACCGGCUAACUUCGUG
rnacentral:rRNA from 1 species